rnacentral:rRNA from 1 species
GGAUUAAGAGCUUGCUCUUAUGAAGUUAGCGGCGGACGGGUGAGUAACACGUGGGUAACCUGCCCAUAAGACUGGGAUAACUCCGGGAAACCGGGGCUAAUACCGGAUAACAUUUUGAACCGCAUGGUUCGAAAUUGAAAGGCGGCUUCGGCUGUCACUUAUGGAUGGACCCGCGUCGCAUUAGCUAGUUGGUGAGGUAACGGCUCACCAAGGCAACGAUGCGUAGCCGACCUGAGAGGGUGAUCGGCCACACUGGGACUGAGACACGGCCCAGACUCCUACGGGAGGCAGCAGUAGGGAAUCUUCCGCAAUGGACGAAAGUCUGACGGAGCAACGCCGCGUGAGUGAUGAAGGCUUUCGGGUCGUAAAACUCUGUUGUUAGGGAAGAACAAGUGCUAGUUGAAUAAGCUGGCACCUUGACGGUACCUAACCAGAAAGCCACGGCUAACUACGUGCCAGCA